UCCUCAGAGGGGGUGCAAGCAUAAUCUCCCAGGCAUUUCUGAGUACCAUCAGCUGAGCACAAUUCCCUGGAGGAAGAGCAACCAGUAAUGUCCAGGACAGUGCUCAAUAAAUACUUGUUGGAUGAAUGACUCAUAAGUAGAACACAGCUCUACCCUCUCCAUAUGCUUUUUCUAUACACAAGCUGCUCUCCAUCUUGCCACGGACCUUUGUAUGUGCCGAUCCCUCAGCUGGAAUGACCUCACCUUCAGAUUUACUGCCCGCCAGGGAAGCCUGGAACUGAGUGAAGAAACACAUGGAAACCUCAUACAGAUCUGCAGGUUUGCUGACAUCAUCACCAAACUCUUCCAGGAAUUUCUUCCUUAAACUCCUAAAAUCAUCAAAUUUCCCAUCCUCACUCCCUCCUGACAUCACAGAGCAUAUCUUUCAAAUCUUAUAAAAUAAAAUAAU